GUUUCCGUAGUGUAGUGGUUAUCACGUCCGCGUAACACGCGGAAGGUCGCCGGUUCGAGCCUGGCCGGAAACA
rnacentral:tRNA from 1 species